UACGUAGGGAGCAAGCGUUGUCCGGAAUCAUUGGGCGUAAAGCGCGCGUAGGUGGCCAUGUAAGUCCGCUGUGAAAGUCAAAGGCUCAACCUUUGAAAGCCGGUGGAUACUGCAUGGCUAGAGUACGGAAGAGGCGAGUGGAAUUCCUGGUGUAGCGGUGGAAUGCGCAGAUAUCAGGAGGAACACCGGUGGCGAAGGCGGGUCUCUGGGCAGUAACUGACGCUGAGGAGCGAAAGCGUGGGGAGCGAACAGG
rnacentral:rRNA from 1 species